UGGGAAUACUGACUUGAAAGUGUACUUUAAGAAUAAUUCAUUUUUGUCACAACCUCGUUUUAGCACAGCUUAUCACUGGGACUUGUUACAUGAAUAAUUACAUUUACAAAUGAGGACAGACAGAAGACCACAUGAAUCCUGCUAACCUCCCCCCGAGAGUGCACUUACGUGUCCAUCCAGGGCCCAGUUGUCAAUUUUGAACUUGUUGACAAAGAUCUCCACGGGGCCUCGGAUUUGGUGAACCUGGAGUAGCAGAGAGGUUUGGUGCCGUUCCAGGUGCGGUCCUUGGUGCAGACGAGGGUGGAGGCACGGUCAGCGUCCAUGGUGAAACCAGGAGAACACUGGAAACUAACCGUAUGGCUGUAGAGGUCGCCACAGCAAAUCAAUCUCCUCCAUCCAACCCCCUCUUCCGCAUGUGUCUUUCUCACACCAGCUACCCUCAUGUCCUCCUUCACUACAUCCGUGAACUUCCUCUUUGGUCUACCUCUACGGCUCCUUCCCGGCAGCUUCCGCAGCAUCCUUCUACCAAUAUAUUCACCAUCUCUCCUCUGGACAUGUCCCAACCAUCUCAGUCUGGCCUAUCUGACCUCUAACAUGUUAUGUCCCUCUGAUGUACUUGUUCCUGAUCCUAUCCAUCCUGGUCACUCCCAAUGAGAAAAGUCAUAAGAAUAAUACACACCCAAUUUACAGAGAAAGAACAUCUGCAGCUGUAACAUGGGUGUCACUGUCACUUUUCAUCAAGCAGUCCAAACAGAAGCUGUAGUAAUUCUACACUUAAACUUAAUAAAGAUUUGUCAGAUCAA